UCAUUUUGUUAAAAACAUCAAACAAAGAUUGCCCAUUUUGAAAAUCGUUAUCAACUAUGACACAAAGGAACCAUUCCUUCAUCAUAGAAACCAAAAGUUUACGAGAAAUUGAAUCAGGGCUAUAUGCAUUAGCCCAUUCCAUGCCCAAUGAAUAGGCUUCAUCUUUCCAAGCAAGAAAAGAGGUUGACUCGACAAUAGUAGGUUGGAUAAUCUCACGAUUAGGGAAAA